rnacentral:tRNA from 1 species
GCCCUGGUGGCACAACAGUUAAGCACUCGGCUGCUAACUGAAAGGUUGAUGGUUCGAACCCAACCAAUGGCU